CCUGGGUCCCUGUAUGACUACAUGGAGCAGAGACUUCGUCACCCUUCCUACUCAUUGGACAGUGACAUAAGGCAAAUUUUGUAUUGCAUUAAGCUUCAGAGAUCUUCAGGUUACUUCCUAUAGCAGCUGGUCUAUCCUGAUUAAUACAGCUUCCUCCAUUACAUUCCUGGAAUCUACCUGUGGUUUCACUAAUAUGAUUCCUCACAGGACUUCCUAGGCUUUUUAGUGCCACUACUUUCAACCUGUGUAGUC
rnacentral:lncRNA from 1 species